rnacentral:rRNA from 1 species
CCUACGGGUGGCAGCAGUCGAGAAUCAUUCACAAUGGGGGAAACCCUGAUGGUGCGACGCCGCGUGGGGGAAUGAAGGUCUUCGGAUUGUAAACCCCUGUCAUGUGGGAGCAAAGUAAAAAGAUCGUACCACAAGGGGAAGAGACGGCUAACUCUGUGCCAGCAGCCGCGGUAAUACAGAGGUGUCAAGCGUUGUUCGGAGUCACUGGGCGUAAAGCGUGCGGUUGCAGUUUAGUAAGUCGUGUGUGAAAGGCGCGGGCUCAACUAGCGGACGGCAAAUGAUACUGCGAGACUAGAGUAAUGGAGGGGGAACCGGAAUGCUCGGUGUAGCAGUGAAAUGCGUAGAUA